rnacentral:rRNA from 1 species
UACGAAGGGGGCUAGCGUUGUUCGGAAUUACUGGGCGUAAAGCGCACGUAGGCGGACUAUUAAGUCGGGGGUGAAAGCCCGAGGCUCAACCUCGGAACUGCCUUCGAUACUGCGGGUCUCGAGUCCGGGAGAGGUGAGUGGAAUUCCUAGUGUAGAGGUGAAAUUCGUAGAUAUUAGGAAGAACACCAGUGGCGAAGGCGGCUCACUGGCCCGGUACUGACGCUGAGGCGCGAAAGCGUGGGGAGCAAACAGG